rnacentral:rRNA from 1 species
GGGUGCCCUUCGGGAAUUCCGAGACAGGUGCUGCAUGGCUGUCGUCAGCUCGUGCCGUGAGGUGUUGGGUUAAGUCCCGCAACGAGCGCAACCCUAUUGCCAGUUGCUACCAGGUAAUGCUGGGCACUCUGGUGAGACUGCCCGUUAACGGGGAGGAAGUGGGGACGACGUCAAGUCAUCAUGGCCCUUACGCCUAGGGCUACACACGUACUACAAUGGCGCAUACAAAGGGCAGCGAUACCGCGAGGUGGAGCCAAUCCCAAAAAGUGCGUCCCAGUCCGGAUUGCAGUCUGCAACUCGACUGCAUGAAGUUGGAAUCGCUAGUAAUUCGAGAUCAGCAUGCUCGGGUGAAUGCGUUCCCGGGCCUU